AAUUUUCAUUUAUUUUUAUUUUUUAAAAUAUGCCAUUGCUUAGGAGGUCCACGUGUUGAAACGUUUAGGUCCGUUUUUACCCUGUAAUUGCAAUUUCUGAAAUAUUUUCACUUAAGAGCUGUACCGAAUCAAUAUUAUUAUUUUUCUAGAAGCUUGGGAUGAAAUUCUGAUGAAAUUGGUAUCUGAUGGUACUGUCCCAAGGCUUGUUCAUCUCACUGGUAGUAUGGGAAAAUGUGUUUUCAAUUAUUUUUAUGAAAUGUUCACUUGGAGGAUUUCCUGGGAGUGAAAUUUGUUCUCAUUUACUCUGAAAAGGGCAAAGUUUAAAUAAAUGUCACUAUUUAGUAGAACGAAAAUGAAAGCAAACAAAAAAUACAGGGAGAAGAAGAGGAAACUGGCAACUGUACAGGAAACAAUGUGAUAUUCUUCUGAUUGGCGAGAAUGCCCAGGUGGUCUUGAGGUAAAUCCAGGUAAGGGCAAAAAGAUAAAUUUUCUUGAGAUUCAACCCUAAAACUUUUCUUUAGGAGUCCUUCUUGGGUUGUAGGGCACUUGGGACUCUUUGUGAAAAUACCCCUUGUUAUUCAGUGUGGAAGAAUCAGCCACAUUUAGAUAGGAUGCUUUUUGGUGUAGUUUGUUGACUGGCAGCUUCAGUGAACAUCUCAUUUUUCCAAAAUUAUUCUCAGGAGUGAGAAAGCUGCAUAGUUAUUGCUCCCAGUCUGUGGAUGGAGAACGAGUGCAGAAGAAACAAUAAAUUCCAUCUUCAAAGACAGUCACUGCUGGUGUUUAUUCAUAACUUCUUGCUCUUUUAUAGCCUCCCAGGUCUGAGAUGAGAUAUUACCAUGUCAGACUUGUUCUUUGCAGUUCUACUUUUCUUCCUUUUUUGUGGUGGGGUGGGGGGGGCAGUGCACUGGGGAUUGAACAUAGGGGUGCUUUACCACUGAGCUACAUCCCCAAGUCUUUUUAUUUUUUAUUUUGAGACAGAGUCUCAUUAAGUUGCUCAGCGCCUUGCUAAGUUGUUGAGAUUGGCCUUGAACUUGUGAUCCUCCUGCCUCAGCCUCCAAGUUACUGGGAUUACAGGUGUGUGCUACUGUGCCUGGCCUUCUUUCUUUCUUAAAAAAAAAAAAAAAACAAGUUUAAAAAGGGAAAAGUUUAAAAUCUGAUUUUCUAGUUAUGAUCUUCUUUAAAAGAAUUCCUUCCUUCCUUCCUUCCUUCCUUCCUUCCUUCCUUCCUUCCUUCCUUCCUUCCUUCCUUCCUUCCUUUCUUUCUUUCUUUCUUUCUUUCUUUCUUUCUUUCUUUCUUUCUUUCUUUCUUUCUUUCUUUCCCAAAUAAGCUGUUAGGGCUCUCUCUUGACAAUUUCAUAGACACUAUUUAAAAUACUACUUCAGUCAGUUUAGUGAAUAAUCAUGGUUUUCUUUUUCCAUUUCCCAUGUGUGUUCAUUCUUGUUCUGAUAGCCGCAAUGAGACAUAAGUAAUGUCUAUAUCAAUCUCUUAUUUUCUUUUUUCCUAGUGUCUAGAAGAUUCUUGAACAGAAUGGUAUGAAUCUCUGUAUCUUUGUACCUCACAACCUGAUUGAAGACACGGUGUCAUCUAUGAGGCUCCACAUUUAUUUAAAGGGAAAAUGAAUUUGGUAUGAAAAGCAGGGCAUUUUGGCUAAAAAGUUCUCUCCUCGUGUUUUCUUCUGUAUGACUAAUUGCCAGGCUGGGUUUUCCCCUCUGUAUUUACCAACAGGGUGGUUGGCCUUUUCCUCACAAAUAAAAACUUAUCUUCUUGCUAAGACCUUCAAAAGAGUCAAUAGAAGGAGAACAAAGAAGGAAGGAAGAACUAAUGCCUCUGGCCAGUCGAAAUCUCCAGGACCUAGUAGCCCUGCUGUGUUGGACACUCCAGCUUAACAUUUUUAUCUAGAAUUGUAGUGUCCGUUUAAAUGUAGAAUAUAACUGACCUUUAUUUUCAUUAUUUUUGACCAUCCA
rnacentral:lncRNA from 1 species